UGAAGGGCAGCUGAGCAUGUCUGCGGGAGAGGGACCAAAGGAAUCUGGGCGGAGCAGGUGGCAGAGGCAGCCGCGGAGGAGGCCCGGGGAACUGACGGGGAUGCUCAGCCGGGCCCAGAGGAUGCGCCCCGGCACUCCCGGAAGGCUCUAGGGAAACAAGCAGGGACCGUAGCUAGGACGUGGGUGGCCAGGCCCAGGAAAUCCAUGAAGAGCACCUACAGGGGGUCCUGCUGCCGCCGCCGAUGCGACGACGUUGGCUGCUGCUGUCGUUCCCGCCGGGCUCACCGCGCGCCUUACAGGUCCGGGGACGCGGCGCGAGCCCCUCCGCCUCCACGGCAGACCCCGAGCCGGGAAAGACGGCGCCCGGUGCCAGCUGGGAGCUGGGCAGCAGCGGCUGAGGAGGAAGAAGCAGCCGCAGCGGCCGCACCCUGGAUGAGAGCUGGAGUCAUGCCUGAUUGCUGGAUGAGGCUGUGCACGACAAGCUACUAAAUUCAAUCCUUUCCUUUGCUUUGACCUGGAAGACCGAACAGAUCAGGCUUAGUUUUCUUCAUGCAGCAGCAGUAGGAUAAAAUUUGUCACACGUACGACUUUAGGAGAAGAGAUUGACUGUGCUGCAGCCUUUUUAGAAAUAAACAUGUCUACAUCACAGCAUUUUUAGCUUUUUAUUUCAUGGGAAGGUAGCACUCAUAAAUCAAACUACUAGGCAAUAGUGGUUCCGGUCUGAGCUAACUGGAGCCUAUAAAAAGUUACUUUAUUUCUCUAGGCCUCAGUUAGUUUCCUAUGUAUUAAAGUGGAAUUUGGAUUAAAAGAGCACUAAAUAUAAAACUAAAUAAUCAUUGGAUCUGUAUUCUAUGUUCAGGAUAGCUAUAUUUGGGAACUAUGAAAUUUAGCGUAUUCACCGACACUUAAUUUUAUUUUUUCAUAACACUAUCCACUGUUUAUGUCAGAAAACAUAGCGAUGUUCAGUAAACAGUGCUUAAAUUACAUGUCUUCUAAGAAACCCAUAAUAGAUUACUGCACCUAAGAAAUAAUUAAGCAAAAAUUAUUCAGUUUGAUUUUUUAUAAGGUGAAAAUUUUAUUACUUAAUACAAAUUACUUUUAUAGGC